rnacentral:rRNA from 1 species
AAGGGGUGACGGCGUACCUUUUGUAUAAUGGGUCAGCGACUUACAUUCAGUGGCAAGCUUAACCGAUUAGGGCAGGCGUAGCGAAAGCGAGUCCGAACAGGGCGAUUCAGUCGCUGGGUGUAGACCCGAAACCAGGUGAUCUAUCCAUGGCCAGGAUGAAGGUGCGGUAACACGUACUGGAGGUCCGAACCCACUAACGUUGAAAAGUUAGGGGAUGAGCUGUGGAUAGGGGUGAAAGGCUAAACAAACCUGGAAAUAGCUGGUUCUCUCCGAAAACUAUUUAGGUAGUGCCUCGUGUAUCACCUUCGGGGGUAGAGCACUGUCAUGGUUGUGGGGUCCAUUGCGGAUUACUACGCCAUAGCAAACUCCGAAUACCGAAGAGUGCAAUCACGGGAGACAGACAUCGGGUGCUAACGUCCGGUGUCAAGAGGGAAACAACCCAGACCGCCAGCUAAGGUCCCCAAAUAUUGCUAAGUGGGAAACGAAGUGGGAAGGCUAAAACAGUCAGGAGGUUGGCUUAGAAGCAGCCAUCCUUUAAAGAAAGCGUAAUAGCUCACUGAUCGAGUCGUCCUGCGCGGAAGAUGUAACGGGGCUAAGCAAUAUACCGAAGCUGCGGAUGCACAUUUAUGUGCAUGGUAGGAGAGCGUUCCGUAAGCCUGCGAAGGUGCAUUGAAAAGUGUGCUGGAGGUAUCGGAAGUGCGAAUGCUGACAUGAGUAGCGAUAAAGGGGGUGAAAGGCCCCCUCGCCGUAAGCCCAAGGUUUCCUACGCAACGUUCAUCGGCGUAGGGUGAGUCGGCCCCUAAGGCGAGGCAGAAAUGCGUAGCUGAUGGGAAGCAGGUUAAUAUUCCUGCACCAUUGUUAAAUGCGAUGGGGGGACGGAUCGCGGAAGGUUGUCCGGGUGUUGGAAGUCCCGGUCCUUGCAUUGGAGAAGGCGCUUAGGCAAAUCCGGGCGCGGAAUUCAAGGGUGCGAGGCCAUUCACUUAGGUGAAGAAGCAAUCGGAAGUGGUUCCAAGAAAAGCCUCUAAGCUUCAGUUUAACAGGACCGUACCGCAAACCGACACAGGUGGGCGAGAUGAGUAUUCUAAGGCGCUUGAGAGAACUCGGGAGAAGGAACUCGGCAAAUUGGUACCGUAACUUCGGGAUAAGGUACGCCCCUGUAGCUUGAUGCCCCUGCGGGCAGAGGGUGAAGGGGUUGCAAUAAACUGGUGGCUGCGACUGUUUAAUAAAAACACAGCACUCUGCAAACACGAAAGUGGACGUAUAGGGUGUGACGCCUGCCCGGUGCCGGAAGAUUAAAUGAUGGGGUGCAAGCUCUUGAUUGAAGUCCCGGUAAACGGCGGCCGUAACUAUAACGGUCCUAAGGUAGCGAAAUUCCUUGUCGGGUAAGUUCCGACCUGCACGAAUGGCGUAACGAUGGCCACACUGUCUCCUCCCGAGACUCAGCGAAGUUGAAGUGUUUGUGAUGAUGCAAUCUCCCCGCGGCUAGACGGAAAGACCCCAUGAACCUUUACUGUAGCUUUGCAUUGGACUUUGAACCGAUCUGUGUAGGAUAGGUGGGAGGCUAUGAAGCGUGGACGCCAGUCUGCGUGGAGCCGUCCUUGAAAUACCACCCUGGUUUGUUUGAGGUUCUAACCUUGGUCCGUAAUCCGGAUCGGGGACAGUGCAUGGUAGGCAGUUUGACUGGGGCGGUCUCCUCCCAAAGUGUAACGGAGGAGUACGAAGGUACGCUAGGUACGGUCGGAAAUCGUGCUGAUAGUGCAAUGGCAUAAGCGUGCUUAACUGCGAGACCGACAAGUCGAGCAGGUGCGAAAGCAGGUCAUAGUGAUCCGGUGGUUCUGUAUGGAAGGGCCAUCGCUCAACGGAUAAAAGGUACUCUGGGGAUAACAGGCUGAUACCGCCCAAGAGUUCAUAUCGACGGCGGUGUUUGGCACCUCGAUGUCGGCUCAUCUCAUCCUGGGGCUGUAGCCGGUCCCAAGGGUAUGGCUGUUCGCCAUUUAAAGAGGUACGUGAGCUGGGUUUAAAACGUCGUGAGACAGUUUGGUCCCUAUCUGCCGUGGGCGCUGGAUAUUUGAAGGGGGCUGCUCCUAGUACGAGAGGACCGGAGUGGACGAACCUCUGGUGUACCGGUUGUCACGCCAGUGGCAUCGCCGGGUAGCUAUGUUCGGAAGAGAUAACCGCUGAAAGCAUCUAAGCGGGAAACUCGCCUUAAGAUGAGAUAUCCCCGGGGCUUCGAGCCCCUUGAAGGGUCGUUCAAGACCAGGACGUUGAUAGGUCAGGUGUGGAAGCGCAGUAAUGCGUUAAGCUAACUGAUACUAAUUGCCCGUAAGGCUUGAUCCU